rnacentral:rRNA from 1 species
UACGUAGGGUGCAAGCGUUGUCCGGAAUUAUUGGGCGUAAAGAGCUCGUAGGCGGUUUGUCGCGUCUGCUGUGAAAUCCCGAGGCUCAACCUCGGGCCUGCAGUGGGUACGGGCAAACUAGAGUGGCGGUAGGGGAGAUUGGAAUUCCUGGUGUAGCGGUGGAAUGCGCAGAUAUCAGGAGGAACACCGAUGGCGAAGGCAGAUCUCUGGGCCGUAACUGACGCUGAGGAGCGAAAGCGUGGGGAGCGAACAGG